rnacentral:rRNA from 1 species
AAGCUCGUAGUUGAAUUUCGGACCUGGACGGGCGGUCUGCUUAACGGCAUGUACUGUCUGACUGGGUCUUACCUCUUGGUGAGCCGGCGUGCCCUUUAUUGGUUGUGCGUUGGGGAACCAGGACUUUUACCUUGAGAAAAUUAGAGUGUUCAAAGCAGGCCUAUGCCCGAAUACAUUAGCAUGGAAUAAUAGAAUAGGACGUGCGGUUCUAUUUUGUUGGUUUCUAGAGUCGCCGUAAUGAUUAAUAGGGAUAGUUGGG